rnacentral:rRNA from 1 species
UACGUAGGGGGCAAGCGUUGUCCGGAUUUAUUGGGCGUAAAGAGCGUGUAGGCGGCCAGGUAGGUCUGCUGUGAAAACUCGAGGCUCAACCUCGAGAUGUCGGCGGAAACCAUCUGGCUAGAGUCCGGAAGAGGAGAAUGGAAUUCCCGGUGUAGCGGUGAAAUGCGCAGAUAUCAGGAAGAACACCAAUGGCGAAAGCAGCUCUCUGGGACGGUACUGACGCUGAGACGCGAAAGCGUGGGGAGCGAACAGG